CCCACUGCACCAUACAAGGACAAGCCAAUCAAACAGUAGCUUUGUCCAGAAGUUGUUACUGGGCGGACUGGUCGAUGGACCACCAAAACCUCUUUCCUGGGCCCCUCUUACAGAUACGGAUGGAUCCCACCUGGAUUAGCGCGUGAAUCCAAACGACCCAGCUGCGAUAUUUUCUUCCGCAUCCAAUGUUUGUCCUCAGUUCACCCGCCACGAUGUCUUUCUUUUUUUGACCUUUUUUUUUUUAUUACUCUAUUUCUUCCGCUACGAACCUUGUUAAUUGGCGCUUUCACUUGUUCGUUUCAAGUUGGCAUGAGGGCGUGAACAGCACGCAAUGUCAUGUCAGAACAUACUUCCGUGUUCCAACUAUCAAUGUCAGUAAUUGGUUUGCUGAGGCGGCUGGGGCCAUGGCUCGUUCAUAAUUUUGGAGGGCGUGAAAGUCACGUGCCGUUACAGGCCAUGGGUUGGCAUCCAUUUUGGUCUUCUUCUGGGCAAGUAACUUUCUUGAUCUUCUCGAUCUCCAUCAUCUUGAUAAUAAAGACCAGUUGCUGGAAGCAUAACACAGCUACUUCUGAU
rnacentral:misc_RNA from 1 species